rnacentral:tRNA from 1 species
AGUGCGAUAGUAUAAUUUAUUACAACUUUUUUACACAAAGUUAAUCAACUUGAUGUUGUCGCACUU